CAGCCGCCGCGGGAAAACGAAGGGGGCUAGCGUUGUUCGGAUUUACUGGGCGUAAAGGGCGCGUAGGCGGACUGAUAAGUCAGGGGUGAAAUCCCAAGGCUCAACCUUGGAACUGCCUUUGAUACUGUUUGUCUUGAGUUCGAGAGAGGUAAGUGGAACUGCGAGUGUAGAGGUGAAAUUCGUAGAUAUUCGCAAGAACACCAGUGGCGAAGGCGGCUUACUGACUCGAAACUGACGCUGAGGCGCGAAAGCGUGGGGAGCAAACAGGAUUAGAUACCCGAGUAGUCCCUGUCUCUUAUAC
rnacentral:rRNA from 1 species